UACGGAGGGUGCGAGCGUUGUCCGGAAUCACUGGGCGUAAAGGGUGCGUAGGUGGUCGGGUAAGUCUGAUGUGAAAUCUCCGAGCUCAACUCGGAAAUGGCAUUGGAUACUAUUCGGCUGGAGGGUUGGAGGGGGGACUGGAAUUCUCGGUGUAGCAGUGAAAUGCGUAGAUAUCGAGAGGAACACCAGUGGCGAAGGCGAGUCCCUGGACAACUCCUGACACUGAGGCACGAAAGCUAGGGGAGCAAACAGG
rnacentral:rRNA from 1 species